UAUCAUAUUUGAUUCGGACUGGAACCCUCAAAAUGACCUACAGGCAAUGAGUAGAGCUCAUAGAAUCGGCCAACAAGAAGUUGUGAACAUCUACAGAUUUGUCACAAGCAAAAGUGUUGAGGAAGAUAUCUUGGAGCGAGCUAAGAAAAGAUGGUUCUUGACCACCUGGUGAUCCAGAAAUUGAAUGCAGAAGGCAGAUUGGAGAAGAAAGAAGCAAAGAAGGGGAGUUAUUUUGACAAGGUACGGGUCCUGUGGGGGUGUUUUGAAAUAGUUUCCUGAAUUAGUUGGAUUAUGUACAAAAAAAAUUUCUGUUAAAAAAUGAUAAAGUAGAUUAUCAGUGGG